AUUGUUGUUGGUUUUGCUUUUCAAGCUCCACCACAGACUAAUGACCAACCAAGUAGGGACCUAGGUGGUUCUCUGUCCUUUUCUGGAGGAGGUCCUCGAGGCACAGGCGGUGAUAACCAGUAGGCUGUGCUUUGUCCAGGAGCUCCAGGGCCUGAGGACGGGCAAUGUAGGGCGGAGACUCAGGAGAAUCUGUGCAAAUUGCCGCUGUGAGAGCUGUGAGACGAAAUGAGGCUCAUAAAAUACCUCGAGUCUCGUCUCCUUUUCCUCUGGGAGAGCUGAUGAAAGAACAUGAGAGAAGAAACGGACUUUAACGCCCACCUCGCCCGCAUCCCCACCUAGCCCAGCUUUAGGGACACUAGAGGGACUCGUGGAGGCAAAGCUGGGUCCAAACGUGAGCUUCUGGGGAAACCGAAAAGGUUAACACGGUUCCAGUCCCUGAGAUUCCCACUUCCUGCAUCACUGCGCAUUCCACAAAUGAAACUGAAGGCCCAACAUAGAGACAUGCAAGCUGAAACUGCCCAAGUUAAUCUGGGUCUCUAGGCUUAAGGCUCAAGGUCUUGGGCCCCUACAGAGAAUGAGCAAGUGGACCUAGUAUGCUACUGCAGCCUCUCUACUGCUGACUUUGAGGAAGCAAGCUGCCAUUCUGGAGAGGCCCACAUGGCCACAAACUGAGGGUGACCUCCGGGCAAUAGCCAACAAGAAACUGAUGGCUUCAGUCCAGCAAUCUUUAAGGAACUGAAGCCUGCCAACAACUGGGGGAGCAAGCUCUUUCCCCAACUGAGCCUUCAGUUGAGAUCACUGGCAGCACCUGGAUGGCAGCUUUGUGAGACACCCUGAAGCAGAGGGUCAGAGUAGGCUUCUCUCAGAUUUCCGACCCACAGAAAUCAUGAAAUAAUGUGUGUUUUUUUGAACCACUAAAAAAAUUUGUGGUAAUCUUUUAUGCAGCAAAGACAACUAAUAUAUUGUGCCAGAAUUAAGUGUCAGAUCCUUAGUAAGAGAGAUACCCAUAUGUCCUUUCUGAAUCUGUCCUUUUUGUGUUAUGACAUGUGGGGUUUGCUAAAAUGUGGGGCUCAAGACAGAGUCCCUUCUUGCCUGGGUAUGAGAGCAAUACCAGGACCAGUUAAUUAGUCUUCAGUUUUUUUUUUUUUCUUGCAUGUUUCCUAAAAACAUUUUGGAAAACUAUGUGACUUCUUGUGUAUAUUUUACUUUAUAUCUAAUUCAUUUUUUUGAAAAUUAAAAUAACUACAAAGAGUGUAAAAAUUGUGAUAUCUUGUAAAUAGUGACAUUUUAAAGUAAGACUGUUUAUAUUACUCUUUUAAAUGUAUCCAAUAGAACCUAUAUGCCAUAGCUUUUUGAUAUUCAACAUCAUCU